UACGUAGGGUGCAAGCGUUGUCCGGAAUUAUUGGGCGUAAAGAGCUCGUAGGCGGUUCGUCGCGUCGGCUGUGAAAACCCGGAGCUCAACUCCGGGCCUGCAGUCGAUACGGGCGGACUAGAGUACUGCAGGGGAGACUGGAAUUCCUGGUGUAGCGGUGGAAUGCGCAGAUAUCAGGAGGAACCACCGGUGGCGAAGGCAGCCCCCUGGGUCAAGAUUGACGCUCAUGGCACGGAAAGCGUGGGGAGCAAACAGG
rnacentral:rRNA from 1 species